GCCAGGAUCAAAUUACUCCAGCUGAAUUAUGUUUUCCAGUUCAGUGACCAAAGUUCCUACUGUCCACAGCUCUCACUGUAAGGUCUGGCAGACAGAGGAGUUACAGAGACCUCUUCAAGGAAGAAAGGACUCCACUCACAAAUUUAUUUCUCACAGCCAUGGCAAAAGCCUGUUUUCACAGAAAAUGAUGAAACAAAGCAGAGAGGAAGAAAAUCCUGGAUCUGUCUUGGCCAAUGGUUGGAGAAAAAAGGGUAGUGCUACCUAAGAAAAUUUAAAGCAACAUCUGUCAAUAAAAUCUGUUAAAAGAGUCAAGGACACUGUAUUUUUACAAAUUGAAGGUUGUGGCAACCCUGCAUCAAGCAAGACUAUUAGCACCAUUUUUUUUUUCACAUAGCCUAUGCUCAUGUGUGUCUCUGUGUCACAUUUUGGUAAUUCUUGCAAUAUCUCAAGCUUUUGCAUUAUUGCUGUAUCUGUUAUGGUGAUAUGUUAUCAGUGAUCUUUGAUGUUACUAUCGUAAUUGUUUUGGGGGGCCAUGAACCAUCCUCUAUAAGAUGGGGACUUCAUAAAUAAAUGUUGUGAUGCUUUGACUGCUCCACUGACAGGCAGUUUCCCCAUCUCUCUCCCUUUCCUCAUGACUCUCUAUUCCAUGAGUCACAACAACAUUGAAACUAGGUCAGUUAAUAACCCUAUUAUGACCCCUAAGUAUUCAAGUUAAAUAAAGAGUUGCAUGUCUCUCACUUCAAAUCAAAAGCUAGAAAUUAGUGAGCUUAGUGAGGAAGGCAAGUUGAAACCUGAGAUAGGCUGAAAGCUAGGUCCUUUAUGCCAAACAGUUAACCUAGUUGAGAAUACAAAGGAAAUGUUCUUGGAGGAAAUUAAAAGUGCUACUCCAAUGACUACACGAAUGAUACAAAAGCAAAAACUGCCUUAUUACCAAUAUGGGGAAGUUUGAGUGGUCUGGGUAGAAGAUCAAACCAGCCCCAACAUUCCCUUAAGCCAUAGCUUAAUUCGGAAAAAAAGCAUUAUUUCUCUUCAAGUCUAUGAAGGCUGAGAGAGGCGAGGAAGUUGCAGAAGAAAAUUUGAAAGCUAACAGAGGUUGGUUCAUGAGGUUUAGAUAAAGAAGCCAUAACCAUAACAUAAAAGUAAAAAGGGAAACCACAGUGCUAAUGUAGAAGCUGCAGCAAGUUAUCCAGAAGAUCUAGCUAAGAUAAUUGAUGAAAGUGGCUACAAUAAAUAACAAAUUUUCAGUGUAGACAAAACAAUCUUCUAUUGGAAAAAGGUGCCAUCUAGGACUCUACCAGCUGUAGAGGAGAAGACGUUGCCUGGCUUCAAAGGACAGGCUGACUCUCUUCUUAAGGGUUAAUGGAGCUGGUAAAUUUAAGCUGAAGCAAAUAACUCAUUUACCAUUCCAAAAAUCAUAGGACUCUUAAGAACUAUACUAAAUCUACUCUUCCUGUGCUCUAUAAAUAAAACAACAAAGCCUAGAUGACAGCACAUCUGUUUACAGCAUACUUUACUGAAUAUUUCAAGCUCACUGUUGAGACUUACUGCUCAGAAAGAAAGAAUCCUUUCAAAAUAUUACUGUUCAUUGCCAGUGCACCUGGGCACCCAAGAGCUCUGAUGGAGAUGUACAAGAAAACUAAUGUUUUCAUGCCUGCUAACACAACAUCCAUUCUAUAACUCAUGGAUCAAGGAGUAUUUAGGCUUUCAAGUCUUGUUAUUCAAGAAAAACAUUUUGUAAGGUUAUAACUGACAUGGAUGGUGAUUCCUCUGAUGGAUCUAGGCAAAGUAAAUUGAAAACUUUCUGGAAAAUAUUCAUCAUUCUUGAAGCCAUUAAGAACAUUCAUGAUUCACGGGAGGAGGUGAAAAUAUCAACAUUUAUAAGAGUUUGGAAGGAGUUGAUUUUAAUUCUCAGGUAUGAAUUUGAGGGCUUCAAGACUAGUGGAGGUAGUGGCUGCAGAUGUAAUAGAAAUAGCAAAAGAAAUAAAAUUAGAAGUGGAGCCCAAAAAUGUAACUGAAUUGUUGUAACCUACCGAUAAAACUUGAACAGAUAAGGAGUUACAAACAAGUGAAGGAUUGGAGAAUAGGUCACCCUACAAUAUGCCUCUUUGGCAUAAGAAUUAUUUUGUCCUGAAGGCAGUUGAGAAGAAACAGAUACAGAAAAGCUCUCUACCUUCCUCCUAUUUGCCUAAAGGCAGGACACAAAUUUACAAAGGUGUUCCUCCUCUACUCUUUACCAGGAAGGGAAAACAUUGAUCACAGAAGACAAAUUUAGACUCUCAUCAGCCCAAACAGAUGGAAGCUGUAUAAUAAGCUUUACUAAGUAGACUUUAUCCACUAUUAGUUCCCCAGUUGUUGCCUUCCUACAAUUGGCCACUCCUAGAAGCUCAAGGCCCUUUUCCUGUGUCUUGUCAUUUUCUAAGAAUUUUUUGUUCUUUGUUGAAGAUGCUAUGUAAGCUAGAGUUCUAAGCCACUUCUAUAAGAGUUACUCACUCCCUGGGUAUCUCCGACAUAUACAUGAAAUACACAUAUUAAUAAAUAGGUUAGGAUCAGAAUCCUGAAAGACACAAUUCUGACUGCCAUAACCUCAAAUAUUGACAUUCCUGAAGAUCAAAAUCCCUAAAGUCUAACAUCCCUAGCAUCUAAGAUCCCCAAAAUCACAAUCACGGAAUAGUUUUAUCAUGUUAAGUAGAACUACUAACUUGUUAUUGCCUUUAUUUGGAAAUUAAGUAUGGCUAAAAAGAUGUGUAUGAGUGCCAAUUUGACAAGAGGUGGACUUAAUUUUAGAUGUCAGCUUAAGUGGAUUUAGGAAUACUUGAAACUUGGUAAGGCAUAAACUUGUCUGUGUGUCUGUAAGAGUGUUUCCAAAGAAGAUUCAUGUGUGAAUCUGAGUGGACUAGGUGGGGAAGACCUGCCCUCAACAUUGGUGGACAACAUCCAAUUUGCUAGAGUCCCAGAGAGAACAAAUACCAAGUAAAUUCAUUCUCUCUGAGAGCUGGGACAGACUUUUAUUCUGCUGUCUUGGACAUCAGAGCUCCAGGCUUGCCAACCUUUCAAUUCCAGGACUUACACCAGGGGUCCCAGGGGCCUGAGGCUUUCAGCUUUGAACUGAGAGUAACACCAUUGGUUUUCCUGGUUUUCAAUGUGAAAACAUUAAAACUUCCUCAAUAAAUAAAGAAAUGUUCUUAUCAUACACCUGCAUUUUUGAAAGAUAAAAUUUCUCCAGGUCUCAGCUCUUUGGGUGACUGCAUAUGCAUUGAUGACCCUUUGAGGUUUUUGAUCAAUCUUGUCAAAAGUCUUCAUCUGUCCAUCACAGCAUUUCAGAUAAUCGCAGGCAUAAAGCUGAGUGCACAAAAUUGCCAACCAUACUGAUAGGCAUUUAUACAUUUUGUUUUUUCACUUAUUUCUUUAUGAACAUGGUUCAUUUGCUAGACACUCAUGUGCCUGUCAUUUGUAUACCCAAGUUUACGUUUGAAACAAUAUGUGUUAUAUUGCCGUUUCUGUCGUGUAAAUUAUGUAUGACAUGUUCUGAUGUGUUUUAUAUGUUUCCCAAAUAAACUGCCUUUUUAAAAUGUAAAUAAAUGUCUUUUAACAAAUUUUUAAAUUAUUUUUUCCAGAGUUAUAAUUUCAGAAAUUUGAUCACGUGGGAUUUCAACAUUCAGGAUUAUGACAUUCAGAAUUGCACCUCUUGGGAUUAAAUAAGCUCCUUUAAUAAACUUCUAUUUGUUUUUCUAUUUCUAAUAUGAAAGAAACAGUAAAAUUGGUGACAGUAAGAGAUUUCAAAGUUAAAGUUUUUAAACAGGUUAAAUAUGAUACAAUUUCAGAUACAAAUGAAAGUAACUUUUUUGACACAAAAUAGUACAUAUAAUUCUAGACUAAAAUUUUGAUAAUCAGUAUAAAUAAUGAUUUAUAUAAAAUUAUGUUAUUCAAAUACAAUCAAGGAGAUAUAAAAAUAUGAAUACAACACAGAAGGAAUUACAAAAGUUGCCAGAGAUAGAAGGAGAUUUGUACAAGAAUAUUCAUUACUGCUGUGUGUGUAGUGCUAAAUUAUUGGUCCUCUAGAGGAGACUGGAG
rnacentral:lncRNA from 10 species